GUGUAUGGCUGGCUGUAUUGGGAAGUUAUUCCAAAGGCCUUGAUAAGUUCAGUUUCUCCUGGCAGUGGUGCCAGCCUCUGCAGACCUCAGGAGGAAUCCAGAUCAAAUUAAGCCUUGCAUAAAUUAAAGUAGAAUGCCUGAAUGUACUAAUGCAAAUAUUUGGUUCUAAAGAGCUCCUGCUUUUUUUCCACCUUUACCCUCUUCCCCAAGCAGUGCAUAUCCUCUGAUCCUACAGAUUUCAAGCCCUCACUGAAAUACCUUAGCUUUGUUGGAUGAGCCUGGCCAGCAUGGAGAGUCCAGCUCCACCCUCUCUCGAGGCUGAACUGAUCUGCUUAUUCAGGGCCAUGUCACAGGAAGUUCUGGGCCAGAAUCAAGAGCCUCAGAGGUAUUCCUGCUAAACUUCUCCCUUGGACUGUACACUUAACCACCUUCUUCAAGAGACUGCAGUAUCCAUCAAGGAGGUGCAGCUUACACAGUGUCUAAACCAAAAGCCUCCUAGAGGUACUACUUGUUCAAAGUAAAGUCUCCUUCACUUUAACCGGCUGUCACGCCAGAACAGGUUGCCCAAAUAAGUGGUAAAUGCUCCAUCCCUGGCACUGUUCAAGGCCAGGUUGGACAGGGCUUUGAGCAACCUGGUGUAGUGGAAGGCGUCCCUGCCCAUGGCAGGGGGUUGGAACUGCAUGGUCUUGAGCACCUUUCCAACCUAAGCCAUUCUAUGAUUCUAGGAUGAGGAUUUGCUUAAAAAGCAGGAUGGGCUUAAGCACCUAAAAGACAGCAUUAAAAAGCUCACUAGACAGAACAUUAGCAAUGAAACCGUUCUAGUUGCAAAGCCUAAAGGUAGAGUUGGUGCUUACACUGCAAAUCGCACAAAGAGAGUAUUCCUCCAUAGGGGAAACAAACUGGAUGUGGCUCUUAUGCCUUCAUAAUAACUCAGAAACAUUAAUAGGAGAUUAUGUAUAAAUGGAGGAGAGAUUGACAUAGCUUAUGUCCAAAACAUGAGCAACUACAAGGAAGCAAGCAAGUUUCUCCUGUCCUGUAUGGAGCAGGCAGAGGACUUUGUUCCAUGUUCACAUACAACUUUAUGACCACUUCAGAUCUUGUCAGUGUUCUGAGUAUAUUCCUUUAAAAGACAGAUAAGGACACCUGGCAUUGCAGAAAAUGGGCAGUAACUUGCUUCAGUCAUAUUUGGUCGUUAAGAUUUAAUGAAUUCCUCUGUAACUCUUUACUACUGCUAUGUGAAAUCUCAUUUUCUAAAAAUGUAUAAAAUUGUGAAGUUGAAAAGCAUCCCUUGGCUUACUCUUACUGGAAGAUGGUGGGAAAAAUGGGGAUUUCUGGGAAUUAAUGGCUUUUGGUUGAUGGAAGUGAACGUUCUGGAAUAUUGGAACAUCACCUGGCAUCAAAUUCUGGUGUAGUGACAUGUAUGAACCCAACUCUGAAGCAGCAGUUGCUUGCUGAAACAGAAGUAUGCAGUCUGUGUAGCUUUGAUUCAUUGCAAAGCUAGCGGUAUCUAAUAGUACUCUAAACAUCUUAAUCUGCUUUCCUAGUCUGUCUCUCUUACAGGGAAUGAAGCUGAAGUAUGCUGGAAGACUGUAAGUACAAUCAUACAGAAAGCUAUCUGUGGCUUCCUCCUUAGCAACGACACAGUCUUGGCAUUGCUCCAUGACAAUUGUUGAGGAACAAAGUGAACGCUAGCUCUUCCUGUUUAAAAGCUUUCAGAGUCUCCUGUAGAGAAUCUGUACGGUUCAGAUGCUUCUACACUUGGAGUGAAUAGCCACCCAGAACUUCUGAUUUAAGUUGGUUGCUCUGAUGGCUGUAGGUACAAAGCAUCUUCGGUGAUGAUGACCUAAGCUAGUCUCAAGAUCUCCUGAAGGCAUUAAAGGAAUGAUGCUCCACACAGUUCUGUUUUGAGCACAAGUUUGCAUUAGAUGACUUCCCAAGGCCCCUUCCAACCUGUGCUACCUUGUGAUCCUGUUUUUGAACUUUCUUCAGUGGAUAUCUGUUGAACUUUGCUGAUGCCUUCCAAUAUCCGUGUUUUACACUACAAGCCAGGCAUGCUUAGCCACUUCAGGGCUGUCAUUCACAGGAAAGCCCACACGUUUUAACAUGAUCUCCAGAAAGCUGCACUGCAGAGCUGUGGAAAGCAGCUGCCCCUCAAGGAAGAAGAGGAUUUCUCACUCUGCUUUCUCUUUCAAAUCUUUCAGGUGUAUGGAGAAUAAAAAUCAUAGCUAUUUCUAAGGAAAACUAAAAGCUGACUUGCUUACAGAUUCGUGUGGUUUCACUCCCCUUCUUUCUACUUAGGGCUCCUU